GAAAACUGGUGUGGAAGACAUCUCUUCGUUGGGAAGCCAUUUGUGCCUGCAAAACAACCCGGAAAGGAAUAUUUAUCUGGAUGGCAAGGUUGGAUAAUGGCUGCAUGGUACAGAGCUCAAGUACCAACCAUCAGAAACCUUCCUCAGGUGCUAUUUAAGGAUGGAAGCAGUAUCAAGCUGGUCAUUCCUCGAUUGGCAUCCGGAAGUCCAAAACAAGGAAAGCAGAAAAGUCACACAUGCCACAUAACCGAAAGAUUAAAUCAUUGGUCAAUUUUUGCUCCACAUCCAGUAGUGAUGUGUUGUUGCAGAAUCAGGUGCUACACAGGGAUAAUUCUUCUAGCCAUGGUAUGCCUUCAUGUAUAUUUCUUUGUGUCUGAUCCAAUCUAGCACUAAUGAUUUAGCGAACUGAGCUUGGUGGAACUGGGGUAACACAAUGCAACUACUUUUUUCAUGUGAGUUGCGGCUAAGCUUCUUUAAGAUGUAUUCAAGGCAAGGCGAACCUACACACUGAAACACGUAAUAUGGCCAGAGCUGUGAUAGCUAAUUUGAAACGGAGGGAGUAAUCAACAAGCAAGUUUGUGUAAUAGAUGCCUUUGGCGUAGUUUCUUAUUAUGAGUUGUAUCAGGAACUGAAACGCUGAUUAGCUAGCUAUCUUCUUUGUUUACUAGUAGCAAGGUGUGAUGGGGUCGAUAUCAAUAGCUGUGCAGAGGCCGAAGGAGGAGCUGAAGAGUGGAUGCAGA